AUUGAACGCUGGCGGCAGGCCUAACACAUGCAAGUCGAACGAGUGGCGGACGGGUGAGGAAUGUCUGGGAAACUGCCUGAGGGAGGGGGAUAACUACUGGAAACGGUAGCUAAUACCGCAUACUAACGGAUGUGCACAGAUGGGAUUAGCUAGUAGGUGGGGUAAAGGCCCACCUAGGCGACGAUCCCUAGCUGGUCUGAGAGGAUGACCAGCCACACUGGAACUGAGACACGGUCCAGACUCCUACGGGAGGCAGCAGUGGGGAAUAUUGCACAAUGGGCGCAGGCCUGAUGCAGCCAUGCCGCGUGUAUGAAGAAGGCCUUCGGGUUGUAAAGUACUUUCAGCGGGGAGGCGUUACCCGCAGAAGAAGCACCGGCUAACUCCGUGCCAGCAGCCGCGGUAAUUC
rnacentral:rRNA from 1 species